rnacentral:lncRNA from 1 species
AAUAAUGCCUCGCAGAAGUUUAUGGGGCUGCCCUCUUUGAGACACAUGGUCAGUUGCCUUAGUUUUCUCGACAUUCCAUGCUUAUCUAUCAACUUCCCAGAAGUAUAAUAUUUUAAGUAGAAAUAGUUCAGUCCUGGUGAGCUAUUCUGGGAGAAAGAGGACAAGCUGCUUGUUCUCAGUGCAAUGCACCCUCUUGCUUCUCUGUCGUGGCCCCAUGGUCGUCUAGGUGUGGGAACGAGGGAAAUAAGAAAGGGUUACAUUUUGCUUACUGAACACCAGCAAGAUAAACACUUCCAAGGCCUCGCUUCUGUUAUUUGUUGCUGUCAGCAGCCUUCUGAGAUGGCACACCAUGAUACCUGCUCCCUCAUCUUCACGCCUUGCUUAAUCACAUCCUGUUGAGAGUGGGCUGGAAAGAGCAAGUGGCUUCUGAGGAAUGGAGCACUGCCAAGUGUUGGGAUGACGCUACUGAGACUAAGCCACAAAGACUCUAACUUUAUGGUCUUCUUUCUCUUUCUGGGCCUCCUCACCUGUUUUCAUGAAGGAAGUUGUGAGCUGCCCCAUGGAGAGGCCUAUAUGACAGAGAACUGGUCAACAGCCAACAAAGAAUGGAGGGCCUCCGUGCAGCAGCCCAUGAGGAUCUGAAUCCCACCAAUCACCUUGCAAGGGAGCUUGGAAAAGGAUCCACCUAGGCUUGACACGACUGAUGUCCCGGCUGACUACAGGCUCAUAAGAGGGCUCAGCUAAGCAAUGCCAAAAUUCCUCACCCACAGAAACUGUGAGCCUUGUGAAGAAGGUGCCUUGCUUCCCUUUCACCUUCCACCAUGAUUGUAAGUUUCCUGAGGCCUCCCCAGCCAUGUGAAACUCUGCAGUUGUCUGCAGGUAACUGAAACUGCAGACAGAGAAACUGUGGAUAAGGCGACUGCUGUAAUGCAUUCACUAUACUUCAUCUCUGAAUGUGAGCAACUCCAGAAAACUACUUGGCCAGAAAUGGGGUUCCACUAUGUUGCCCAAGCUUUGAACUCCCAGACUGAAGAGAUCCUCCUACCUUCGCCUCCCAAAAUGCUGGGAUUAAGGGCACAAGCCACUGUGCCCUGCCUCCUACAAUAUUUUGACAGACAUCAAAUAGCUGCACUCUUUCUGAACAAGCCUGAAUGUAACCUCUUAUUUUCUUCUCAACUAUGGUAGUUCAGGUCACUAUACUAAUUAAUCAGCAUUGUUACCAUUUGUGACAGACUCAACAGUAUCCAGAGUAGAGCAAAUUAUCAUUGAAAGCACUUUUGAAAAAUGGAAUUGGGAACUGGUAGUAUUUAGCAAAGAAUGACAGUAUCCAACAGAACACGGGAGCUCUCUUCAAAUAUUUAAAGGAGUGGUGUAUGGAAGAGGAAGUAGAUUCACUAUUUGUUACAGCUCUUGAAGUCAAAACAAAGAAGAAGGCAGAGAAUUGCAGGAUCUCUGCUUAUAAUAGAAAAUGUCAAUUAGUGAAAUAAGUGCUCUUAAAAUGCUAUAGUUACUCUCAACCCCUAGAACUAUGCAAAAGUGGCUGAGGUAUUAAUCAUUGAGAAGACUUUGGUAACAGUGAAAUAGGUGACCAAUAAAUUAGUACCCAGAGGCUAAAUUAUGACAUUAAAACACCCUCGGAUUUUCAUAAAAAUAAUUAUUUUGCCACCAUUUGUACCAGAUUAUGUCUGAUUGUAUUCAAAUAUUUUAUGCAAAUAUUUCAGCACAGCAUAAUUACUGAGUUUGAUUUGUAGACAUGAUUUAUAUAUUCAAAGAAGACUGUGGACAUCUCUCUUGUUGAAAGCUCUUUGGGCAAAAACUAAAGUGGCCUUAGACUCAACGUGCUCUGCAAUAUUAUCUGCAUUAAUUUUGAAUGUCACAAACAAUUAGAAGCAUUGUUAGAGAUAAAAGUAUUUAUCAUCAUGUAUGUCAAUGUAUUCUCUUAAUAAGUUAAUAGAUGGAGAUCAUCAUUCUAGAUUUACUUUUAUCUUCAUUUUGACAUCUGAGGAAUUAUGGUAAUGUUAUGUCAGAAAGUAUGAAUAAAUGCUUGGAAAGUGUCAAAAUUACACAGGUGCCAUUUUGAAAGGGGUAACUUCAGAAAAGUGCACUUGUAAUAUCCAGGAAUUCAUACGGAUAGUGAAUAGAAUGAUAGAAGACAAUGCAAAGCACUUCCUCACAGAUAGCCAAGUGAGAAACACAUAAAGAAUGAUGGAGUUGGGAAAUCUUUGUAUUGUAACCACCAUAUUGGCAUCAAGGCCAACUAGAUGACAAAAUUAAUUUGAUGAACAAGAUAUGAUAUAUACAUAGUCUGAAAUAGCCCAUUGAUUUCUUAUCAAUACCACAUGUCUUAUAAAUUGCAAAGGUAAAAUUAAUAACUUUGUACGGGGAUAUCCAAGAGACACCAUUUUAACCAAGUGAUGAAGUUUAUCAUCACCAAUAAUGAGACAGAGGCAUCAUGUGCAUCUAGACAUAAGGUACUAGAGAAAACACACCUCAUUUUGAUGGUACUCCUGCCAAAAAUAAAUAAAUUGAAUCCAGUUAUCAGGAAUCAUUAAACCAGCUCAUAUCGAAGGAUGUUCAACAAAAUAACUGGCCUGUCUUCAGAUAUAUCAGCUUCAUGAACAAACAAGAAACAGAGAAUGUUCCAGACUGAAGGAAAGUAAAGUUACCAGACAAUGUGAUGUCAUUCAUGAUUGUGAAUUGGAUACUGGACCAGAAAAAAAUAUAGCUAAAAAAGACAGUAUAGCAAUAAUGAAGAAAUUUUCAGUAUCACUGUGAAUUAGAUAGUACUGCGCCAAUGUUAUCAAUGAUACCAAUACUAUCAAUGAAUUAGAUAGUAUUGUACCAAUGUUAAAUGUCUUGAUUUUGUUAAUUGUAUCAGGUUCGUGCAGUUUUUAUCUUUGGGAAAUUCAUACCAAAAUAUUUGGUGUUAGGUGAAUAUGAUAUCUACAACUUAAUUUCAAGUAGUUCAGAAAAGUAUAUGCAUAUAUAGAUAUACAUAUAUAGAUAUAUAGAAUUGUGUGUGUUAUGUGUGUAUUUGUGUGCAUGAAAACACUUAGGGGAGAGAAGACAGAUAGAUGAUAGGUAGAUAGGUAGCUAGAGAGAGAGAGAGACAGACAGAUAGACAGACAGAAAGACAGACAGACAGACUGAAAGGUAGACAGGCAGAUAGAAAGACAGGUAGGUAGGUAGGUAGGUAGAUAGAUAGAUAGAUAGAUAGAUGAUAGAUAGAUAGAUAGAUAGAUAGAUAGCCAGCCAGCCAGUCAGACAAAUAGACAGAUAGGCAGACAGAUAGACAGAUAGAUAGACAGAUAGACAGAAAGAUAGUUAGACAGACAGAUCCACAGAUAGAUAGACAAACGAUAGCCAGCCAGCAAGCCAGCCAGACAGACAAAUAGAGAGACAGACAGAUAGAUAGACAGAGAGACAGAUAGACAGAUAUAGAUAGAUAGAUAGAUACAAAUAGAUGGAUAGGUAGAUGAUAGAUAGAUAGAUAGAUAGAUAGAUAGAUAGAUAGAUAGAUAGACAGUCAGAUAGAGCAAAGCAGUUGGGCGCAAUGGUUCACACCUAUAAUCCCAGCACUUUGGGAGGCUGAGGCGGGCGGACCUGAGGUCGGGAGUUCAAGACCAGUCUGGCCAACAUGGCGAAACCCCGUCUCUACUAGAAAUAUAAAAAUUAGCCAGGUGUGGUGGCGGGUGCCUGUAAUCCCAGCUACUUGGGAGGCUGAGGCAGGGAGAACUGCUUGAACCAGGGAGGCAGAGGUUGCAGUGAGCCAAGACUGUGCCACUGCACUCCAGCCUGAGUGAGACUCUGUCAAAAAACAAAACAAAACAAAACAAAAAACCACAAUAACAUAGAUAGAGCAAAGCCACUGUGGGAAAUUUUUAACAUGUCCUAAAUCUGGUUGAAUGUUUACAGCAAAUUUUAUACUGUACUUUGAUAUUUUCUGUGUGCUUGAAAAUAUAUAAAAUAAAAAUUUAUAAAAAUAAAAAGAGAACCAGAAACGAAAGUUGGAAUAAUCAAAAAUAAAUCUAAACAAUGAUGCAUCUCUGGGUAAUCAGUUGUUUUUUUUAGCUCAUUCUGAUGAAAUUUUUGGCUGAAUUGACUUCAGCAGUGGAUCUCACUUUCUGAAAGAUUUGUGCUGUCCUGUUAGGCUAUCUGAUACACAGGACUCAGUUUGUGGGAAACAGAAAUGAAGUACAGUAACUUAUGGUAAAUAUUUAACAAGAAUACAGCUCAGUACCCUGCAGCAUGAACUGCAGGGAAACUUACCUUAAGCAGAACCAUACCUAACAAUAUUUAGGUUUCUUAAGCUGUUUGGGAUUACACCACUUGUGCCUGCAUAAUGUCUAGGAUGCCUUCUUAACAGCAAUUGCAAUUUUUUUUGC